GCUGUAGCUCAGUGGCAGAACACCUGCUUUGCAUGCAGAAGAUCCCAAGUUCGAUCCCCGGCAUCUCCA